AUUGAACGCUGGCGGCAUGCUUUACACAUGCAAGUCGAACGGCAGCACGGGCUUCGGCCUGGUGGCGAGUGGCGAACGGGUGAGUAAUGCAUCGGAACGUACCGUGUAAUGGGGGAUAACGUAGCGAAAGUUACGCUAAUACCGCAUACGCCCUGAGGGGGAAAGCGGGGGAUCGUAAGACCUCGCGUUAUACGAGCGGCCGAUGUCGGAUUAGCUAGUUGGUGGGGUAAAGGCCUACCAAGGCGACGAUCCGUAGCGGGUCUGAGAGGAUGAUCCGCCACACUGGGACUGAGACACGGCCCAGACUCCUACGGGAGGCAGCAGUGGGGAAUUUUUGGGACAAUGGGCGCAAGCCUGAUCCAGCCAUGCCGCGUGAGUGAAGGAGGCCU
rnacentral:rRNA from 1 species